rfam:Ruminococcus flavefaciens strain YL228 genome assembly, contig: IE39DRAFT_scaffold00006.6
UGGGGUGUCGCCAAGUGGUAAGGCAGCGGACUCUGACUCCGUUAUUUCGAGGGUUCAAAUCCUUCCACCCCAA